GUCAACACAGACCUUGAAAUCCCCGCACCGCUCCCUCCACCCCGUGUAAAUUCAGGCGUCUCCGUGAGAGUCCGGCGGUCGCUUCCCUGUGUGUUAAAAUCGCUCGGCGACGGGUCCUGUCCCCGCUCGUUCUGCCUUGGGCCAGAGCCUCGGGCAAGUUCUUCAAGAGGUAUCCAGAAGAAGGCAUUGUUAUCCCAGACGACAGCUCCAUACAUGUUAUUGCUCCUGAGGACCUUCCAGUGGGACAAGAUGUGGCACUGGAAGACAGUGACAUUGAUGGUCCCCACCCUGUGUAGGCCUAGGCUAAUACACAGGAGUCUUGCCAUGUUGCCCAAACUGGUCUCGAAAUUCUGGACUCAAGCAGUCUGCCUGCCUCGUUCUCCAAACGUGCUGGGAUUACAGGCAUGAGCCACCACGCCUGGCCGAGUAUUCGGUAUUUAUAAAAUCUACAGUAGUACACAGUUAUGUCGUAGGCCAUCACAUUCGGUCACCACACACUCACUGACUCAUCCAGAGCAAUUUCUAGUCCUGCAAGCGCCAUUCAUGGUGAGUGCCCUAGACAGCUGUACCAUUUUUUAAACAUUUAUAUCAUAUUAUUAUUGUACCUUUUCUAUGUCGAGACAUGUUUUUGUUUACAAGUACAUACCAUUGUGUCACAGUUGCCUGUAGUAUUCAGUACAUAACAUGAUGUACAGGUUUUUAGCAAUAGGCUAUACCAUAUACCCUAGGUGUGUAGUAGACUACACCAUCUUGGUUUAUGUAAGUGCAGUCUGUAAUGAAAUGGUCUGAAAAUACAUUUCUCAGAACAGGUCCC
rnacentral:sRNA from 1 species